rnacentral:lncRNA from 1 species
AGAAAUGCCCAGCUGAAUCGAGUUAGCCUGGUUCUGGGGAACAGUAUAAAAUGAGGACGGGGGGGGGGGGCGGACUUUACCCUGGUUUCCCUUGGACAAGCUUCAGCUGUUCUCCUCAGCUGAGCUCAGGGUUCGCCUUCACUGAGGAUGGUUGCUGUUGUCUUGAGAGGAGCUCUGGUCCCUUGCUUUGUCCUUGAGAGUCCUCUUUUGGCCUUUGGCACAGACAUUUGAGCAGGGAGUUCUAGUCUUCGCCUUCGGCUUGGGCAUCGUCUCCUGGUUCUCUGUGUGGAUUCUUUGGCUGCCAGCACUCGCCUCCCAGCCUGCUCCUACAGACGCUAGUCUCCAGCCCUGGCCCUUGGACUUCCCAGAACGGAUCCUUCAGUCUUCAUCACGGAUUCCUCGCCCUUCUGCACCGGACAUUGCUGUGGGAUCUGGGCCUCCCGCCAGAUACUUUGGAUUGCUAGCACAGCUCUCCAUCAAAAGAAAUAACUACCUUGAAAUUUCACUGAGUUCUUCAGUCUGCAAACAAGUUCUCCUGAUAUGAGUAAAGUCAGGAGGGACAACAUUUGAACAAAAUAAAUCUGAGAGAAGAGGGAAGGAAAAGAUAUA